UGAAAGGUGCUUGCAUCUUGAUUUAAUUUUGAACGAGUGGCGGACGGGUGAGUAACACGUGGGUAACCUGCCCUUAAGUGGGGGAUAACAUUUGGAAACAGAUGCUAAUACCGCAUAAAUCCAAGAACCGCAUGGUUCUUGGCUGAAAGAUGGCGUAAGCUAUCGCUUUUGGAUGGACCCGCGGCGUAUUAGCUAGUUGGUGAGGUAACGGCUCACCAAGGCAAUGAUACGUAGCCGAACUGAGAGGUUGAUCGGCCACAUUGGGACUGAGACACGGCCCAAACUCCUACGGGAGGCAGCAGUAGGGAAUCUUCCACAAUGGACGCAAGUCUGAUGGAGCAACGCCGCGUGAGUGAAGAAGGCUUUCGGGUCGUAAAACUCUGUUGUUGGAGAAGAAUGGUCGGCAGAGUAACUGUUGUCGGCGUGACGGUAUCCAACCAGAAAGCCACGGCUAACUACGUGCCAGCAGCCGCGGUAAUACGUAGGUGGCAAGCGUUAUCCGGAUUUAUUGGGCGUAAAGCGAGCGCAGGCGGUUUUUUAAGUCUGAUGUGAAAGCCCUCGGCUUAACCGAGGAAGUGCAUCGGAAACUGGGAAACUUGAGUGCAGAAGAGGACAGUGGAACUCCAUGUGUAGCGGUGAAAUGCGUAGAUAUAUGGAAGAACACCAGUGGCGAAGGCGGCUGUCUGGUCUGUAACUGACGCUGAGGCUCGAAAGCAUGGGUAGCGAACAGGAUUAGAUACCCUGGUAGUCCAUGCCGUAAACGAUGAAUGCUAGGUGUUGGAGGGUUUCCGCCCUUCAGUGCCGCAGCUAACGCAUUAAGCAUUCCGCCUGGGGAGUACGACCGCAAGGUUGAAACUCAAAGGAAUUGACGGGGGCCCGCACAAGCGGUGGAGCAUGUGGUUUAAUUCGAAGCAACGCGAAGAACCUUACCAGGUCUUGACAUCUUUUGAUCACCUGAGAGAUCAGGUUUCCCCUUCGGGGGCAAAAUGACAGGUGGUGCAUGGUUGUCGUCAGCUCGUGUCGUGAGAUGUUGGGUUAAGUCCCGCAACGAGCGCAACCCUUAUGACUAGUUGCCAGCAUUUAGUUGGGCACUCUAGUAAGACUGCCGGUGACAAACCGGAGGAAGGUGGGGAUGACGUCAAAUCAUCAUGCCCCUUAUGACCUGGGCUACACACGUGCUACAAUGGAUGGUACAACGAGUUGCGAGACCGCGAGGUCAAGCUAAUCUCUUAAAGCCAUUCUCAGUUCGGACUGUAGGCUGCAACUCGCCUACACGAAGUCGGAAUCGCUAGUAAUCGCGGAUCAGCACGCCGCGGUGAAUACGUUCCCGGGCCUUGUACACACCGCCCGUCACACCAUGAGAGUUUGUAACACCCGAAGCCGGUGGCGUA
rnacentral:rRNA from 1 species